AUAAAACAAAGCAUAAGGUAAGAAACAAGAGAGUCCGCUAGGAUGACAAGCAACAACCUCUCAAUGUAUCCUCAAAAUGCCUCAGAUGUAACAAGAAUAAGAGCAAUUACACGAAUUCGGGAUAGAAACCUAUACAAGUGUAGAAUCAAUGAGUAAAUACCAAGUCCAACAUGUUACUUUCUGUUAAGAGGCCCCAUACCUUAUUUGCG
rnacentral:misc_RNA from 1 species